ensembl:lncRNA
AUUAGUAAUGAAAUAAUUGAUCACUUAAUAUUCUGAUAUCUGAUGAUAAUUUGUUUAAUUGCAACAGACAGGAACAAAAUUCUCAAAUGUAAAACUCUUUUAUUAAAGCACAUAUGUAGCACAUUUGAGAGUUUCAGCAGAAUCAAAAAUAAAAGUAACAAAAGUAAAGUGUCCAGGAAGAGGUUGUGAAAGUCAAGGGCAUGCAACGAGACGUCCCGUGGAUCCUUAUGUUAAUGUGAUGAAUGUAGAAAGUCACGCAUGAGCUCAAGCAGUUUGAUGGUUUCAAAGUCCAGUUUCAUCUAGUUGUUGAAUAUCAUGUAUGGUAAGUGUGUCAGCCCGAAGAUGUGGGACACUAUAGAGUAUAAUGUCAAAAUCCCAGCAUUUUCAAAACCUCGUGCGGUGAUGACCAGCCUAGAAAGCAGCCUUUUCAUGCAGUGCAGUGUCAUGACCAGCCUAGAAAGCAGCCUUUUCAUGCAGUGCAGUGUCAUGUCGUCACGAGAUAACAGCCAUCAGCCACAGAUGUAUGAGCUGCUGGUGACUGAGUUCUCAAGAUCUUCUCUCUCAGAAAGCUUUCAUUUCAUGCGAUUCCGUAGCCACUGGUAAACAGACUGAAGCAAAUCCACAAAGAUCGCACUUAGGCUCCACUCUGUUGUGGCAGGCAUGUUGAUGACACAGUCUUGAUAAACAGUAAUAGUUGAGUACACGAUCGCUGGUGUAGUUUUAGUGUCCAUUUCCACUCCAGAUAAACAGAUUUUUUGAUGUUCUUCGAGUCAAACGACUGAGUUGACAUGCUGCUGCAGGGCUCUUUAUACUUGACAUGUUCGGACAUUAGACUCAGGAAAGCUAGUUCCGAAGUUUCCAUUUUUCUGGAUAACUGACAUCAUUUGAGAACGGGGCGCCUCUUAAAAGUACUUGAUCUCUUGUAAGGUGUUCAACUACAAGUUUUCUUUAAUCAUACCAUAUCAAGUUUUAAAUCAAAUCUGAGCUCACAAGAGUUUUGUCUUUUCACAAGUUUUUAUUUGCGGACUAAAGGCAUUUCUAUACUGGAUCUAAUUCUGUCAUAUUAGAUCUUAAAGCUAAAUAUACAGAUACAAAACAACAACUCAAAAUAAACAUUUGUAUUUUAGAAUAUCCCUUCCUUAAAACUUCCCUUUUAACUAUUUUACUCGCAUAUUUAUUUUAAAUUUUAGUUUAAUGUUUCAUUGAAUGAAACUACACUUUGGUUUUAAACUCGGACUCAGUCAGUUACCUAUUAGAAAUGAGACUGUGCUUACAGACCUUUCUUUCUCUUCUUCCUUCAUUUACAAUGACUGGUGCUGAAUCUCUCUGUUGAAUUACACAAAUCAUGCGCAUGAUCAUGGUUAGUCCUCAAGUGCUUUUUUUCAUGAAUCUGUGAUACACUGAGAAAGUCCAGUCGGAGAAGAAGUAAAGGCAUCUUUGUGUUAGAGAUCGGCAUUCAUUGAUAUUCUACAACAUAUCUGAAAUGUGAGCUCUAACAGAGUCCGUCAACUUCGUCGAGUGUCAACAACAGUUCCAUGUUGAAGCUGACUUCAUGUUCAUAGUCAAAGCAAAGGGCUGGUGCGCAGUUAUUGUCGGAAAGCGAUUGAGCGGAGCCUCCAAGAAACGCUGGUAUUCGAGAUCUCUGUCAGAAGUCUGCUGAGAGUGAAGUCUUUCUUUCUCUUCC